AAAAACAUCAACGUGAAUUUAUGUGGGUCUUCUUUCCACCAGUCUUACAACUUGAAAAUACUAGUUGCCAUUGAUGAAAUCCUAUUAGCAACAAAAUUUCGCAUCAUGAGCCAUGGAGCUUGGAAUGAGCCUAGACUUGUCAAUUAUAUGUACACAUUUGCAUAAACUUGUAAACCACAAUAUUUAAUUCCUCAAUACAAGGAAGAAUACCACAAAACCACAUCAUGGUGCAUCACGUUAUGUAGUGCGGCUCCUAAUCAGCAGCCACCGUGGUUGAUACCAGAUCUGCCAGAGGGAUCUCAUCAAUAACACCAUGACUCUCUCCUGGGAUGUACAUCACACAAGAGAACAGAGGCGAGAUGUACCUGCAACUCUGCAAGCGGGUGCAUGCUGGCAUCAAUGAAAAUUCAAGGCUGCCAGAUCGAGAAUGGCAUGGGGAUCUUGGGUAAGGAUUUACCAUGUCGACGUGGGAUGUCGCUCUUAAAUCAUAUAGAUCUUCCAUCCCAUCCUCUCUCCUAGAGCUGCACCUUGAGGGGGAAAGACAGGAGAGGAAGUAGGCGGCGACUGGGCGAAGACGGAGGAGUCCUUUUGCCACGAAGCAUAGGGAUGAUAGAGGAUUGCUCCACGAAGAGAUGUGAGUCAAAAGGGAACGACGGAGAUGACCAGGAGGAAGCGGCAGCUCUACCCACGGGAACGGGGGUGAGGAGGAGGAGGAUGAUAUUUGUCCCUCAGGUCAAGAGGGGAUCGUGGGGCGCGGCUGUG
rnacentral:lncRNA from 1 species